rnacentral:lncRNA from 1 species
AGAGACGGGGUCUCACUAAGUUGCAUAGGCUUUGCUACUUUGCUGAGGCUGGCUUUGAACUUGUGAUCCUCCUGCCUAAGCCUCCUGAGCCCCUAGGAUUAUAGGCUUGCACUACCACACCCAGCCUGAGGUCUCUUUGUACACCAGAGGUAUGAUGGUCUCUCAUCUGCUUAAAACCCUUCACUAAGUCUCUGUUGCCUUGAAGAGAAAAUCUUCCCUCCCAAGCAUGGACUUCAUGUAGAGCAGAUGAAUAUCUCUUCAUGACCUCUGACUACCCCUGAACUCCUACCACAGCCCAUAUUCAUCCUGUUCUCCUGACAUUCUGACUUGCUUACAAUUUCCUGAACUGGCCAUGUUUCCCCCAAGUGGUUCCCUGGGCCCAGAAAAACCUUCUCUUGUGUCACUAUCCUCCCCCAAAAUACCCACACACCUGACUGUCACUCAUUUUCAGUGCAAUUCAAAUACCACUUUCUCUUAGAAGCUUUUCAAAAGUCACCUACCAUGCCUGGGACCACUAUCCUUGAGGUUCUUAUUGUCACUGAGGCAUGCUGCAUACACCCUCGGUGUGCCUCUAUUGCGCUUCUCAUCUGCAAUUUCUUGUCUGUCUCCUCGGGUAACAGGUAAUUCUCUGAACACAGGACCUUGUUACCUUGGUUCCCUGAGCAGUACCACUCAUGUGACCAGCAUUUCAUAAUGAUUUAUGAAAGUAUUGCUCUUCUGGAUAGUAAACAACAGAAACCAACCCUGAUAUUUAAGUUGGAAAGGAACUCAAUGAGAAGAUACUGGUGAGCUCACAGAAUUAACUGGAGAACCAAGAGAUUUUGUUCAGAGCUAAAGCAGCCAGUAAGAGGGCCCAAAUCAUUCCACAGAGCUACUCUUGUGACCACUGCUCUGUCCUCCAUGAAGGGCUGGAUCUUCCCCCAGCUCAAUUCUACAGCUGUGGCUUAUUUGUUUUACACACUGAGCAUGAUAUAAGAGAUCAUUUGCAGAAAGUGUUUACAGAUUAAAACAAAAACUAAAAUAAAGUCUUUUAAGAGAUGUCUAGGCACUGCUGAGUCCCCUAAUCAUGGAAGGCUUCAGUAAGUUUAAGUCACUAUGCUCUAGAGAAAUGAGCCAGGCAGGAAAUACCUCCAUUCUGUAGAGGAGUAAACCAAGACUCAGAGAAGUGAAGUGAGUUGUUCACUUAAUGGGCUCAUGAUUUGAAGCCCGUGUUCUGUCUGUGCUGCUGUGGACUUGUCAAUCAUCUACAGAGCAGAUGAUUAGGGGACUCAGCAGUGCCUUUUACCUGAGAGGUACUUAAUAAAUAUUUGUUGAAUGAACAAAUAAUUGAAUUUUGGUUCUACAGUUCCUUAACUACUAAAAUAAACCAACACUCUAUGUCUUGAUCAAAACACCUACGUAUGAGUACUAACUUAGGAGACGCCUAGACAUCUCUUAAAAGACUUUAUUUUAGUUUUUGUUUUAAUCUGUAAACCACUCUUUCCAAACAUUUGACAGUAAAGGUAAAGUAAAAGUAAAGUAAAGGAAACGGUUGACAGAACAGUGACUUGAGUAGAAAAGAGAAGACAGAGAAAGUUGGUGGGGCUGGAACUUGUAAGUUGGAGAUUUUAUAAAGAGAGAAGACAAUAAGAUGCAACACAGAGAAAUAUUUUAAAAUGCAAAAGUCACACACACCUAUAUUUGCUUUGGAGCAAAAUAUUCUGAGUUCAAAUUCUGGCUCUGCUUCUGACUAUUAAUUAGUAGUCUAAGUUUCUAAACCUAUGAAUAGUUUGUGACUCUUAUCAUUAAGUUUAGGCAAGAUGUCCUGUACUUGUGAGCCGGUAAGAGGCAAUCCUUCCCUGCCCACUUUCCCACAGCUCUCUGCUCUGCCCCACUCAAAACUAGAAGUGCUAGAUAAAAUACAUGUAAUGUGGGACAUACUAAAAAUAAUUCUUUAUUUUGAAUUUAACCAAGCAUCUUGUUUUUGUAUUUCCCAAAUCUGGCAAUGCUAUCCAAAAUAAAAUACCUUGUAUCCAAUGUGCCAUGACAGAAAUUUCAGACAAGUGUGAAGAGGUAAAAUGGGGAUGGUGCUGCCUCCUACUGGUAGAACCUGGCAAGACCAGCCAUCAUGUGUGCACCUGUUUCUUACCAAAAGCAGCAAGUCACAAGAUACAUAGUGGAUGAGAAGUGGAGUUUUAUGAACCUUUUAAUCUUUUAGUCUAAACUUGUUACUACCAUAGCCUACUAUCUUUUAAUUUUUACUGGUAUUGACUAUUCUUCUUAACUAUGUAGUUUUAUACUUUUUUUUGUCAGGGUUAGUAAAAUAUUACCGUACAUUCAGAACUUAGGAUUUCCUUUGGGAUUUCAAUAUGCUCAUUUUAUAUAUUUAAA